rnacentral:rRNA from 1 species
GACGAAGGUGGCAAGCGUUGUUCGGAAUCACUGGGCUUAAAGAGCACGUAGGCGGCUCAUCAAGCGUCAGGUGAAAUCCCUCGGCUCAACCGAGGAAUGGCAAGGCGAACUGAUGGGCUUGAGGCAGGUAGGGGCACAUGGAACUCUUGGUGGAGCGGUGGAAUGCGUAGAUAUCAAGAGGAACGCCGGUGGCGAAAGCGGUGUGCUGGGCCUGUCCUGACGCUGAGGUGCGAAAGCCAGGGGAGCAAACGGGAUUAGAUACCCGCGUA